UACGUAGGGUGCGAGCGUUGUCCGGAAUUACUGGGCGUAAAGAGCUCGUAGGCGGUUUGUCGCGUCGUCCGUGAAAACUUGGGGCUCAACCCCAAGCUUGCGGGCGAUACGGGCAGACUUGAGUACUGCAGGGGAGAUGGAAUUCCUGGUGUAGCGGUGAAAUGCGCAGAUAUCAGGAGGAACACCGGUGGCGAAGGCGGGGUCUCUGGGGCAGUAACUGACGCUGAGGAGCGAAAGCAUGGGGAGCGA
rnacentral:rRNA from 1 species